UCUGAAGACCUGAAAUGAACAGUAGUGAUGUCCUUGUUGUUUUUUAACAUUUAUGAUUAAAGAAACAGGCCUGUGUAAACUCUCCAGUCUUCAUGGUUUUGAGGACAAAGGCUUCUUGCUCAUUUGUUGUAGAGGAGGCUAUAAAACCACAAGAUAAAAAUACUUAACAGCCAACUAGCAUCUGCAACAUAAACAGGUUAAUUUCAGCUGAAGUUUCCUGAUCUAACUGGUCAUGUGGUUUCAUGGCUGCUCACUCUCAGAGAUGCAGUAAGAUCACACACCUGAACAAUGGCAAAGCUGCUCCUUUCAGCCACAGCAUCUCUGCACACUAGCCAACAUUUUCAGGAAGCCUAAGUUUCAACAGUGCAUCUCCAGAGAUUGGCUCCUGCAGCACCACCUGCUCACCCUACCUCCUUCCAAGCAGGCAGCAGCAGUUGGAUUUGGGCCCCAAGGCUCUCUUACUUCGUUCUUGGUAUGGUUCAUGGUCCCAGCAUGUGCUGAAGCUAUGCUCAGGGAGUGCUGUGGACAUGGUAUUGGGGAACCAGUGUUUCCAGAUAUGUCCUCAUACAGUUUGCAGCAGUGUUCCUGAAUUCCUGUUUUGACUGUUGUCUACAGAUA